UCUGUUUUUGGGGUGAUGUCCACAAUAUCUAGUUGGGAACAACCCGGGUCUGCCUCUGUGUUAGGGGUGAUGUUCACAACCUCCAGGUGGGAACAAGCCGGGUCUGCCUCUGUUUUUGGGGUGAUGUCCACAACCUCCAGGUGGGAAGAUGCUGGGUCUGUGUCAUGGGUGACAACAACAAUCCUGAUGAGCUCUACUACUACUACACCAAGAUGUCAUCAGAACAGGCAUCUGUCAGAGUGCUCUCUAUCAUUGCUACUCACCUGCUUGGAUGUCAGCUGGUCGUGUGGUGGAGACGGCCACCGGGAGGACAGGGGGGACUGGUAGGGUGGCUGCAGGGGGCUGGAAGCGGCUCUGAACCUCGUUCGCCACAAAGGCACAGACAG
rnacentral:lncRNA from 1 species